GCGGGUGUAGCUAGACAGAGAAAUUCGUGUCGCUGUCUCUUUUACACCCCCCCGGAUGUUGGGCCAGUCAUCAAUAUUAAUUAACCUUCGAUAUACAGGAUUUAUUCUUGUACGAUGUCGAGGUGUACACGCGAAGAGCAUGUAAACUUAUGUUGGUAGAAUUUUUCAGGAAGGCAAAAUAUUUCAAUUUUGAAAUAUGUAUUAAUUUUAAAAUAUCUACAGAAAAGUUCCAUUUAGAAUUGCGAAGCUGAUAGUAGUAAUAGGAUUUAUAUAAAUAAGUAGAAAAGUUUCCGAGAUACAGAGUGAAAAAAUUUUAAAUCAAUUAAUUUUUUGUUUAAACUCAAAAAUAUUGUAGUUUUUGCAGUAAUUGCUUAAAAUAUGGUGCUCUAAUUUAUUUGAGGACAGCGGCAAAUCUUUUGUAUCGUUCUAACGCUUGCAAAAUUACACACCAUGCGUAUUCAUUAAUUAUAAGUAAUAAUUAGAAGUAAUUAUUUAUUGCAAAAUUAAAGGAAUUUUAUAAUUUGAACAAGGAAUGAAAAACAAAUUUAUUAAUAUUUAACAUCGUACGUAUCACAAAAAAAUUACCCUAUAUAGAUUCUUACAAUUGAUCGACAAACUGUUUUAUAGACCUUAUAGCGUCAUUUACGUUCCAAAUGUGGGAUACAUAUCUCAAAAUUGAAACAGCAAGGAGAAAAAACAAAAAUUAAAUUUCUAACUUUGUCCUCUAUAUUUCAUAAGGAACGCGUUUGCGGACAUAUGAUUAUAUAAACAUUUCUUUUUAUUUGGGUCAGUUUUAUCCCCUUAUUCAUUUUCCGAUUAAAAAAUGUUUGCUCAUUUAAAACUUGCUUGGCAUAGUCCAUAGUAACGAUGGAAUUUUGAUUAAAUAGUUCAUUUUCUUCUCUUAAUUUUCUUGACGCCUACAGAGGUAUAAAUAAUUAUUGUCUAGUCUUUUCCUCUUUAGUUUAUUUUUGUUCAGACUAGUUUGUACAGACAUCUAGAAUACAUAGAAGCAUAUAAUAGAAAUCAAAGGCAAACUAAACUUCUUGUUAUUUAGCUUAAUUGAAAUUAAAUAUGUCUGUUCUUAGAAAAUUAAAAAGAAAUGAAGCUGUAAAA